UACGAAGGGGGCUAGCGUUGUUCGGAAUUACUGGGCGUAAAGCGCACGUAGGCGGACUAUUAAGUCAGGCGUGAAAUCCCGGGGCUCAACCCCGGAACUGCCUUUGAUACUGGUAGUCUCGAGUCCGGAAGAGGUGAGUGGAAUUCCGAGUGUAGAGGUGAAAUUCGUAGAUAUUCGGAGGAACACCAGUGGCGAAGGCGGCUCGCUGGUCCGGUACUGACGCUGAGGUGCGAAAGCGUGGGGAGCAAACAGG
rnacentral:rRNA from 1 species